AGUGAACGCUGGCGGUAGGCCUAACACAUGCAAGUCGAACGGCAGCACAGUAAGAGCUUGCUCUUACGGGUGGCGAGUGGCGGACGGGUGAGGAAUACAUCGGAAUCUACUUUUUCGUGGGGGAUAACGUAGGUAAACUUACGCUAAUACCGCAUACGACCUACGGGUGAAAGCAGUGGAUCUUCGGACCUUGCGCGAUUGAAUUAGCCGAUGUCGGAUUAGCUAGUUGGCGGGGUAAAGGCCCACCAAGGCGACGAUCCGUAGCUGGUCUGAGAGGAUGAUCAGCCACAUUGGAACUGAGACACGGUCCAGACUCCUACGGGAGGCAGCAGUGGGGAAUAUUGGACAAUGGGGGCAAGCCUGAUCCAGCCAUACCGCGUGGGUGAAGAAGGCCUUCGGGUUGUAAAGCCCUUUUGUUGGGAAAGAAAAGCAGCAGGUUAAUACCCCGCUGUUCUGACGGUACCCAAAGAAUAAGCACCGGCUAACUUCGUG
rnacentral:rRNA from 1 species